UAAAAUUUGAUAUUUUAAUUUUUUUAAAAUUUAGAAUUUUUUGAUAGUUUAUAUUUUUCAAAUUUAAAUUUGAUCUUAAAUUUAAAAUUUAAAAUUUUAAAAUUUAAAAUUUGAGAUUGUAAAUUUUAAUAUUUAAAUUUUAAUAUUUAAAAGUUAAAAUUUUAAAUUUAAAAUUAUAAAUAUAAAAUUUAAAAAUUCAAAUUCAAAUAUAAUGGAAGAAAUAAUAUCAUUAUUUUGGCCAAUUUGCAUAAAAAAUCCACUUAUUUUGGGCUUUUGCAAAACCGAGCCACCUUUUUCGUUUUUGCAGAUUCGGUUCGCUAUUUCCGCUGCCUGACCAAAAUACCCCUCCUAUACAAUAGCCUCCCGCGUAUUUCUUGACAUACGUAUACUACCCUACUACCAUGCCGUACUGUCUGGCGCGCAUUAAAUGCGCCGCUUCCGCCUUACGCAAUCUCGCUCAUUUCUCGGAACCCGAACCACAUCUGCCCCUCUAUUCGCCGUCACCGUUGUUUCUUGUUCGGCUUUAAGACUUUAAUAUAAUUACUCAAGAUAAAUAACAAAAUCUGCACGGCCCGCAACAGGGAUAAUAGUGCAACGCAAAGUACAACGCCAGGAAAAAUGGUGCAACUUCCCUUCUAACAGUGCAUCGCUAGGCUCGUUCCAGUGCAACCUCUCCUUAACCAGUCAAAAUUUUACUUUCUCUAUUUCUUAAUAUAAUCUGAACUUAAAAGUGCAAAAGAAUGGCGUCCCCUCCAAAUGCAGGCGAAGCGUCGGCGGCGCAGGACGGUCGCUGCGGGGUAGGGCGGUCGGCGAUGUGCGACAUAAGAGUCGGCGUGCCAGGAAGCUCGGCGGCGGGGCUGGACGGUCGCCGGCGGGGUUCGGAGUUCGAGAGGCGCGACAUAAUGGCUAAACGAUUGUGUAAAGUUUUCCUAUAAAAGAUCACGCGUUCUUUUAACUGUUAAAUAAGUUCACAGUUAAACGCGAAUAAUAGUGUAAGGCAGUGUGAAUAACAGAACAAUAUUUUACAAAAGAGUGCAAAGAAGCUUGUAAGAGUGCAAUACGGGGUAAAUAACAGUACAAUGGAUUUAAAAAUGAGUGCAACGAAACUUGUAAGAGUGCAAUACGGUAGUAAUACCAGUGCAAUGUUUUAAAAAAGACUCGUACUAAGCUUGUAAGGGUGCGUUGGAGAGGUGGAUACAACGUAUAAUAAUAGUGCAACUUUAAACGCCGAUAAUAGUGCAA
rnacentral:lncRNA from 1 species